AACGGGGGGAGCUAGUGUUAUUCAUCGUGACUGGGCGUAAAGGGUGUGUAGGCGGUUUUUUAUGUUUCAAUAAAAAAAUCUAAGCGUAACUUAGAAAUUUAUUGUUAUACUUUAAACUAUUGAGGACAAAAGAAGUUGGUUGUAUUCUUAGUGGAAAGGUGAAAUUUUUAAAUAUUGAGAGGACAUUCAAUUGGCGAAAGCAACUGGCUCGGAUGUUACUGACGCUGAGGCACAAAGCCUAGGUAUCAAACAGG
rnacentral:rRNA from 1 species